GUAUGGAAGCAACAAUGGAGGAAUCAGUUGGUAGUGUUGUGGUGAUGAUGAUGAUUGACUAUACUUAUGAGUUCUUAUCGAUCGCGAUGGUUCGAUUUCAUUAUCGGAGGACGAAGGACGAGUUCUGGCUUGAAUCGGUAGGUUUCUUUGCUCUCUUGUUAAUUAGAUUUAGAUUCUUCUCUGUGAAAUUGAUUUCAAAUUCGUGGAUUUCAUAAGAAACAUAAUCUAGGGAUUACUGAUUCUCUGAUCUGUGGAAGCGAAGUGUUAGAAUUAGGGAUUGCUUUCUCAAUUCUAGGGUUUUUGAUUACUGAUUCUCUAAGUUUCAUCGUUUAUUGAUUGAUUCUCUUUGUUUUUUUACAUCGCCGAUUUGGGCGUGUUUCAGAUCUAUGGUUUUGAUUUGCGGUGCUUGUAAAUCUCUCUGUCUAAAAUAUUUAGUCUUCAAUAGAUUACACUGUGUGUCGACUUUGUUUCUUUAUCUUUUUUGUGACUUCCCUUUGAUGCAGUUUCAGUUCCUGAAAUCAGAGCAACGGAUCAUUCAAGGUAGAGCCUGUGUAACUCCAACUAUGUCUGUGAAGGAGUUUAACGUCAGAGACAUGUGGCAGAAAAGGUAACUCCAGGAACUGUUCUGAAAGGUGUAGACUUCGCUACAGUAUCUUGGUGGGGAUGUUUAAACUUA
rnacentral:lncRNA from 1 species